UUAAUAGCUGCAGCAAAAUGAUGUAUGAAGAGGGUAAUUUAUACAUAAGGGCAUAAAUAGAGCUGGCUUGGUUGAGCCUUUGUCUGAUCAAGCUCAGCUUGAAAUUAACUGCAAGCCUGAAGUUUGUCAGCAAGCUGAUUUUAUUUAUUAUUUGAUUAGCAUAACCAAUCCUAAUUUAUCAUCAAGCCAAACAUGAGUCUAUUUUGAUUGCUUCAUUACCUUAAAUCAAGCCAAAAUCAAGUUGAAUUAAAGUUUAACCUUUGAUUCCCCUCAAAGGCUUCAUCAUGAAUCAUUAAUUGUGAGGAAAAACCCAUUAAAUAUACUAUCGGAUGAAAUAUAACUUUUUGAAACAUAAUAUUUUAACUGAGCUAUUAAUCAAACUUUUGCAUAUCAUCACUUUGUGAAACAUAUUUUAUGUUCCUAAUUUCGUCUUAUCGAGCUAUGCCUAGUCAACUCUGGUUUUUUCAGGCUCAGCUCAAAAUUAAAUUCGUGCCUGAGAAACAAGUUCAGUCUCAGCUCGAUUAACUUCAAACAGUUUGAUCAAGAACGCAAGCUGCUCAAAUUAAUUGAUAACCCUGGUUAUAUUUAGAGCAUAUAAUAAGCAUGGAAUUUAUCUGCAUGUGUGUGAAAAGCUGGUAGAGUCCUGAAGUAUUAAAGAUUUCAUAUGAAUGCAGUAGCAGAGAAUCUAAUUAUAGAAAUCCAUGGAAAUUUCAUGUUCUUUAAAAUAAUGCAAAAUUUAUAAAUAUAGCUAAGCAUGCCACAUCUUGUCACAUAUACAAAAUCUUCUGCUAAGAGAAGGGUAGAGAUAUAUGGACAAACUAACAAUGGUAUAAGAUAAUUAGGUAGGGAUAUGCACAGUGUUAUGUGCAUUGAGAUAAUCUGUAAAUUGGAGAGAAAAUUACUGGCAUAUUUAAGUGGAGCAGCUCAUAGGAUAAACUUAGAACUGUGCAUAUGAAAGAAAGUUUAAAAGUAAAGUCAAUAAAUAAGAAUGUAGCCAACUUAUUAAGAUAGCUAAUUAUUUGCAGUCAAGAUUACAGGUGCUUCUAUUGAGGAUUCUCGUUUUGGUUGCGUGGACUAGAAACAGAGGAAAACCAUGCCAACUUGCCUAAUACUAUUCACUGAAUCGCUUGAGUGAAAGAAAAAGAGAAAGGGACGGAUGUGGUUUCCUUGAAUUGAGAAGUGCAUGUGGUCCUUUAGGCUCUUGGCAUUGGGGUGAUCAUUGCAAAUGACAUCAAUGCUGGAGAUCUUAGAUCAGUCUUGCAGACUCCGGAUUCUAAGCUGAAAACUGAAACUAUGGUUGAUGCCCAUCCUUAAUAUAAAUUUGGCAUUAACUAAUCAGACAUUUGCUUAGCACUAGUAAUGCCAGUCCAAAAUGCAGAGGAAAUAAGGAAGGAGCUGAUGUCACAGAAUUACGGGUGGUACUCAAAUAGAAGCCACAAGGAAAAAGAAGACAUGAAAGCUUGGGGAAUAUAGAACAAGACAUUUAAUAAUGUUUAUACUCAUGGUAACUGAAGAGAGGAUCAAGGGACUAACAAAUAGGCUGAUGGAAGCAAUCAAAGGGACUGGAGGAAGUAUGUCAUUGUGUAGGCUAGACAGGCAUAAGUAAUAGGGAUCCACACUCCAAUAAAUGGAAGAAGGCCUACAUCUUAUAGUACUAUUUCCCCAUGCCUCCCGGGUGAAGUAUCCUUCUAUAGAUUUUCUUUUGUGUAGUUGUAUGAUUGCAAGGGCGUGUACCACUUGAUUCAAUUUUUUAACACAGCACGAACCCUCCUGAGAGUAAAUAUGGUAAAAAAAUUUCUAAAAAGCCUCUUAAUGCUGUCACAGUCAUAUACAUUAAUUGUGGUAAAUUUUUAGUUCUGGUCAUAUGGUGCAAAAUACCUGUCCAUUCAACUCUGGAGAAUUCUGUUAAUUGACUGAUCCAAUGGAUGCUCUCAUGCUAGUCACUAUUUCGGUAUGCCAGCUUCUUGACUGGUUUUCAUUGGUGCUCCAUCUUCUGUCCUAUUCAUUCCUUAGCAUGCUUAGAUAUGUUUAGCACUUGUACGUGGGUGGUUUUCAGCAAAACAUUUAAAUGUUAUAAAUGUAUCAGGAGAAAUUAGGUUCUGUAACCUCAGAUUAACAUCGCCACAAUGAUAUUUAAUGAAUCAUUCCUUUGAAUGCAAAAUGUGAAUUGGAGCAUGAAAUAUUAGACACGUAUCUUAUUUGUCAUCUGUAUUAUCUUCUUGACAUCAAUGGAGCUCCAUGAAGUAUUAAAUCAUCAAUCAUAUAGCGAAGUAAUAAAGAGUAUACAAGUGUCUCCUGGAAAUAGAGAAAAUUAAAGAGAAUCAUGCAUCACUUUUAUCAAUAGUUUUGUCUUUCAAACUUACUGGAUCAUCUGGAUGUCUCUUUUAUCCCAAUCUGUGUAAUAGCCCAGCGGUUGCAUCCGUCUUCCAAUUGGCAGAGGUUUCAGUUCAUACUUUGAGAGGUUCAUCCAACAGUUCUGGAUAUUCUUGUCAUCUCUUUAAAAUUAUUGGUGGUGCACCCACCUUUAUGCUUGGAGGGCAGAAAAACUUUGAUUUAAUUGAUCAUGAAUAAGAAACUGUCAGUCACGACUCUAUACUUUCCACUGGUGCGCCCAUGUUUUGUAGUUCAGGAACUUCCUCAGAGCAGGCAUACUUGCAAAAGUGAGAGUACUCCAGAGUCCAGAGCCUGGAGUGAUUGGAGCAAUUUAGAUAAACAUUUGUAAGCACUAAGGAUCGAGAAAUUAGGCAGAAACUGAACAACUAAGUUAUGCAAAGAAACAAAACAGAAAUCAGGAUCAUUUAUAGGGAGGUUAUUCAUACUUGUUUACCUCCAAGAGUAGCUUGUUGGCAACCAUGUCCACAGCAAGCAGUCCAUCUCCAAACGAGUUGACACAAGCAAUCCCACCACAAGAUGCUGUCCUCACCUUGAAGGAGAUGGUCCUUAGAGCCUCCCCCAUGCUCACUAGCAGGCUGAGUAGAAUCUUUUCUGGGGUUGCCUUUGUCAAGAACAACUCCUGUUGCUCCAUCAACAUAUUCUCAAUAACAUGAUCGAUCUUUCACAAUCAAAGUCCUUUAGCAGCUAAUUUUAGUGCAUGACCCUCUAAAUCAAAGCAGGAGGGAGGGAACACCAGCCAGCUAUCUUUGAUAUUCUCGGCAAAGACUUUGACAUCACUAACAGAGAUUUACCAAAGAGUGAACUUGAUUUAAGACCCUGCAUGAAGGAAAGGGCAAAGGAUAGUGCAGCCAAGUGGGGGCUAUACAACACAUUAUGUGGAAUUGUUCUUCAAGCAUGUAUAGCUUGCCACUCCAGUCUUCAUUUUGACCAGCAAAAGGAGAAAAUUAUGCACAAAUCACUGCACAGAGUGUUGGUGGCAGUUGGCUGUAUUAUUCAAGGAAUCGUUACUUUUGUUGAAGCAGCAGGGCCCAGCACACAGAGGGGAGUGGAGGGGCCAAACCAUGGCAAUCAGCGAACCAGAUAAGUAGUUCACGCUGCUUUGCCACAUGUCAUGUGUGCAGUUAGUGCUAGGGGAUGAGGCUAAUGCUGAUGAUCAUUCGUUGGAUUAUGUGGUUCUAAUCAUGAAGAUUGAGCACCCUAACGGGUAGUUUGCAGCUUUUUUUAUUCUUUGGUCCAACAAGAAACACUUAAACACAUGAACUAUUAAAGAUUAAAAUGAUAUAAAUGAAUCAGGAGAAAUUAAGUUCUGUCACUUCAUAUCAACAUCUCAUUGGAUCAUUGCUUUGAAUAUAAAAUGGGGAUUGCGAUGCGAACUGUUAGACACAUCUUAUUUAUCAGCUGUAUUAUCUUGUUGCAUCUUCUUGUUGUGAUGUGCAAAAUUACUUGGUGAGGAAAAGAAAAUUUCUUGAGUUUGGAUGGACUGAUUUUUUUUUUUUUGCCUUGUUGUGGCUUGAUCGUUGGUGUUAAGUUCCAGUGUGAUUUUCUGGAUCCUGCCUUACUCCUGGAUAUUAGUUUGCUUAGCCUUUUGUUUAAAAUAUGAAGCCCAGCUUUACGUUUUAUUUAGUAG